rnacentral:lncRNA from 1 species
GUGGGGCAGGACAGGCCUGGGAAGAUAAGGAGCACAGGGUUGAGAAGCUGCUGCAUUUACAGAAUAGCACAAGGCCUCCCAGCCUUCU